ensembl:lncRNA
UUUUGUUUUCAAUCAAUAUUUUAUUCACUGCAUUCAUAUUAUGGCAACAUGCUCUUUAACACAAAAAUACAAAACAGCAAAGGUUCCAAAAUAAAUGUAAUGAUCGUGUAUUAAAAAUAAAGUAAGAGGUAAGACUAAAAAUCACACAUUUAUAGGGAGGACUUUAAAAGCAGGAACAGGAAUAGUAUAGAGGUGAAUGAAGGAGGGGUAUUUAUGCUUUCAUUAAGUAUUUUAGUGCUCUGAAGGGCUUUAAGCCAUAAGAAUUAGAGUAAUAAGAUAAACGUAUUUUAAAAAAUGAAGUAAAGAUUUAAAGUGUCAUUUAACACCUGAUUUCCUUAACAAAAGCCACAUCUCAAUCGGUAGUCCAGGUGUGACAGGGUGUGACACAGGAUGGCCUUUCCUCCUUAGGUCUCUGCAGUUCCUCAAGCAAGAUGGAGCCCGAUGACAUCACGGACUCCCACCAGACAAACUCCUUCAAUUCUCUACUCUCUCUCUCUCUUUCUCUCUCUGUGUGUGUUUUCUUAUCCAGUGAGACAGGUAAAAGCCGAAUAGCGAUUUUGAUUGGCACAGAGUUUCAUAAUAUAGCAUAACAAUGUUUACAUAUGAAUAAUAUAACAACAACAACAACAAGGAUAGAGUAACAACAGUCAACAGUAUAAUGAUAUAACUAAAAUAACAUAAAAAGGAACAUACAUUGUUACAAAAUGAAGCUACACAGGAACAGUUGAUGAAUUUCUAUACCAUUUAAAACCAGUUGGAACCACUUGGAACCAGUUGGAACCAUUUGGAACCAGUUGGAACCAUUUGAAACCAGUUGGAACCAGUUGAAACCACGUGGAACCAGUUGGAACCAGUUGAAACCACGUGGAACCAGUUGGAACCAGUUGAAACCACGUGGAACCAGUUGGAACCAUUUGGAACUAGUUGGAACCAUUUGGAACCAGUUGAAACCACGUGGAACCAGUUGAAACCACGUGGAACAAGUUGGAACCAGUUGGAACCAGUUGAAACCACGUGGAACCAGUUGGAACCAUUUGGAACUAGUUGGAACCAUUUGGAACCAGUUGAAACCAGUUGAAACCACGUGGAACAAGUUGGAACCAUUUGGAACCAGUUGAAACCAGUUGGAACCAGUUGAAACCAUGUGGAACCAGUUGGAACCAUUUGGAACCAGUUGAAACCAGUUGGAACCAGUUGAAACCAUGUGGAACCAGUUGGAACCAGAUGGAGCCAGUUGGAACCAGUUGAAACCAGUUGGAACCAUUUGAAACCAGUUGAAACCAGUUGGAACCAGAUGCAACCACCCAAGAGAGCAUAAAUCAGUUGAUAUAUACAAUGCUAUGCUGGUUUUACUGUAAAGGCUGGCUGGUGCAUUAUAAAUAAGCUAAAAUAUUACACUGUACUCAUGUAUGUCAACAUCAUAUUGGUAAUACAGUAUAGUACAAUGUCUUUAUAUUUUGUCAUGUUCAAUGAAGUAUAUUCAUUUGAUUAUGUUUUUUAAAAUUUAUAUUUCUCAUGACACAACAGGUCAGGUGAGAUCUUCAACACACCUUAGAGGGACUGUGUUUCAACACACCUGUUUCAACACACCUGAUCACAGAAUCAGAAUACUUUGUUAACUUGAUACCAUUCAGAUACCAGAUGUCCAAAGGGUCCUUCAUCACACAUGUAUAUAAUAAGUAGUGUAUAGUUCCGACAUAUGAGGAACAUGGCCAAUAGUAUAUCAAAGAGGGGAGUGGUCAGUGAGUAAAGGGAAAGACAAUAACAGAGGACAUAUGAAAAACUAUUUCCAGAGGAGGUAUAAACAUGACUUCGGGGACAGGGUGUUGUUUCCCGUCAGAGAGGGGAAGACAAAAAGUGUUACACAGAUUUAGAGCAAUCAAUGUUAGUGACCUCUGGACUCAUUCAGGAAGGUGUUAGUGACCUCUGGACUCAUUCAGGAAGGUGUUAGUGACCUCUGGACUCAUUCAGUAAGGUGUUAGUGACCCCUGGACUCAUUCAGGAAGGUGUUAGUGACCUCUGGACUCAUUCAGGAAGGUGUUAGUGACCUCUGGACUCAUUCAGGAAGGUGGUAGAGUGACCUCUGGACUCAUUCAGGAGAAUGUUAGUGACCUCUGGACUCAAUCAGGAGAAUGUUAGUGACCUCUGGACUCAUUCAGAGAAUGUUAGAGUGACCUCUGGACUCAUUCAGGAGAAUGUUAGUGACCUCUGGACUCAUUCAGGAAGGUGUUAGUGACCUCUGGACUCAUUCAGGAGAAUGUUAGAGUGACCUCUGGACUCAUUCAGGAGAAUGUUAGCGUGACCUCUGGACUCAUUCAGAGAAUGUUAGAGUGACCUCUGGACUCAUUCAGGAGAAUGUUAGAGUGACCUCUGGACUCAUUCAGGAGAAUGUUAUAGUGACCUCUGUACUCAUUCAGGAGAAUGUUAGAGUGAUCUCUGGACUCAUUCAGGAGAAUGUUAGAGUGAUCUCUGGACUCAUUCAGGAGAAUGUAAGAGUGAUCUCUGGACUCAUUCAGGAGAAUGUUAGAGUGACCUCUGGACUCAUUCAGGA